rnacentral:tRNA from 1 species
UGCCGGAUGGUGUAAUCGGCAACACGACGCGCUCUGGACGCGUUAUUCUAGGUUCGAGUCCUAGUCCGGCAGCCU